rnacentral:RNase_P_RNA from 1 species
UGAGUAAAUCAGGUGGUCGCGGGCGCCAGGCCGAAAGGUGGCGUCUGAGGAAAGUCCGAGCUCCGCAGGGCAGGGUGCUGGGUAAUACCCAGUGGGGGCGACCCUAAGGAAAGUGCCACAGAAAUGUAGACCGCCACUUCUCAAGUGGUAAGGAUGGAACGGUGCGGUAAGAGCGCACCAGCGGCCGGGUGACCGGCCGGCUAGGUAAACCCCACCCGGAGCAAGACCGAAUAGGGGAACAUUUGCGGCGGCCCGUCGUUGAUUCCCGGGUAAGGUCGCUUGAGGCGCGCUGGCAACAGCCGUCCCAGAUAGAUGAUCAUCCACGACAGAACUCGGCUUACGAUUUGCUCACUAA